AAAUCGGUCCUUUUCAGGACCACCAGAAAUUCAUAGAGAUCAUUU
rfam:Drosophila persimilis strain MSH-3 cont1.004831, whole genome shotgun sequence.